GACGAACGCUGGCGGCGUGCUUAACACAUGCAAGUCGAACGGAAAGGCCUCUUUCGGGGGGUACUCGAGUGGCGAACGGGUGAGUAACACGUGAGUAACCUGCCCUUGACUUUGGGAUAACUUCAGGAAACUGGGGCUAAUACCGGAUAGGAGCUCCUGCUGCAUGGUGGGGGUUGGAAAGUUUCGGCGGUUGGGGAUGGACUCGCGGCUUAUCAGCUUGUUGGUGGGGUAGUGGCUUACCAAGGCUUUGACGGGUAGCCGGCCUGAGAGGGUGACCGGCCACAUUGGGACUGAGAUACGGCCCAGACUCCUACGGGAGGCAGCAGUGGGGAAUAUUCCACAAUGGGUGGAAGCCUGAUGCAGCAACGCCGUGUGCGGGAUGACGGCCUUCGGGUUGUAAACCGCUUUCGCUCAUGACGAAGCUUUGUGUGACGGUAGUGGGUAAAGAAGCACCGGCUAACUACGUG
rnacentral:rRNA from 1 species